rnacentral:rRNA from 1 species
CCUACGGGAGGCAGCAGUGAGGAAUAUUGGUCAAUGGGCGAGAGCCUGAACCAGCCAAGUCGCGUGAAGGAUGACGGCCCUACGGGUUGUAAACUUCUUUUGUCAGGGAGCAAUUGGGUCCACGCGUGGGCUUAGCGAGAGUACCUGAAGAAAAAGCAUCGGCUAACUCCGUGCCAGCAGCCGCGGUAAUACGGAGGAUGCGAGCGUUAUCCGGAUUUACUGGGUGUAAAGGGCGUGUAGCCGGGAAGGCAAGUCAGAUGUGAAAUCCGGAGGCUCAACCUCCGAAUUGCAUUUGAAACUGGUUUUCUUGAGUACUGGAGAGGCAGACGGAAUUCCUUGUGUAGCGGUGAAAUGCGUAGAUAUAAGGAGGAACACCAGUGGCGAAGGCGGUCUGCUGGACAGCAACUGACGGUGAGGCGCGAAAGCGUGGGGAGCAAACAGGAUUAGAUACCCCGGUAGUC